CGAGCGGCGUUUAGAUAUCUCGUGCAGUCGUGCAGAGUACCGGUAAUUGCUCCCGGAUGUUAGCGGCAGAGGGGUGAGUAACACGUGGGUAACCUGCCUGUAACAGUGGGAUAACUCCGGAAAACCGGAUCUAAUACCGGAUAUUUCCUUGCCCCGCGGGGUUCAGGGAAGAAAGAGGUUUUCCUGUGUCACUUACAUAUGGCCCCGCGGCGCUAUAUCUAUUGGGGGGGGUAAUGGCUCACCAGGGCGACUAUGCGUACCCCACCUGAGAGGGUGAUCGCACACACUGGGACUGACACACGGCCCACACUCCUACGGGAGGCAGCAGUAGGAAAUCUUCCGCAGUGGAAAAAAGUCUGACAGAACAACCCCGCGUGAGUGAUGAAUGUUUUCAGAUCAAAAAUCUCUGUUGUUAGGAAAAAACAAGUGAGAGAGUAACUGCUCACACCUUGACGGUACCUAACCAAAAAGCCACGGCUAUAUACGUGCCAACACCCGCGGAUAUACGUGUGUGGCAAGCUUUGUCCGGAAUUAUUGGGCAUAGAGGGCUCGCGGGGGGUUUCUUAUGUCUGAUGUGAAAGCCCCGGGCUCACCCGGGGAGGGUCAUUGGACUCUGAGAAUCUUGAGUGCAAAAGAAGAGAGUGAAACUCCACGUGUAGCGGAGAAAUGCGUAGAUAUGUGGAGGAACACCAGUGGCGAGCGCGACUCUCUGCUCUGUAACUGACUCUGAAGAGCGAAAGCGUGGGAGAGCAAACGAUAUUAUAUACCGUGGUACUCCACCCCAUAAACUAUGAGUGCUAAUGUGUUAGGGGGGUUUCCGCCCUCUUUAGUGCUGCAGCUAACAUAAUUAAACCACUCCGCCCUGGGAGUAGUACGGGUCGCAAGAGUGAAACUCAAAGAGAAUGAGAGGGGGGCCCCGCACAACGCGGUGGAGCAUGUUGGUUAUUAUUUCAAAGCAACGCGAAAGAACCUUCCCAGGUUCGUGGACCUUCGUCUGAAC
rnacentral:rRNA from 1 species